rnacentral:rRNA from 1 species
GACCAUCCCAGUUCGGAUUGCAGGCUGCAACCCGCCUGUAUGAAGUUGGAAUCGCUAGUAAUCGCGGAUCAGCAUGCCGCGGUGAAUACGUUCCCGGGCCUUGUACACACCGCCCGUCACACCAUGAGAGUCGGGAACACCCGAAGUCCGUAGCCUAACCGCAAGGAGGGCGCGGCCGAAGGUGGGUUCGAUAAUUGGGGUGAAGUCGUAACAAGGUACC